GGAACCUAAAAGGUUAAAGGGAAAUUUUUUCCACCCCUACACUGGCGACAUCAUCAGAACUCAGUAAAUGCUUGUUGAAAGACACUGACCAGCAGCGUUAAGAUACCCUCUCAUAAGCCCAGAGAAAAGAUCAAAACGGACAGAAAAAUUUCCAACUCCAUAGAUAUCACUGUGCAUGAGCAAACUGCGGUUUAUAAGUCACAUGACGGAGGUCAGAAUUUUCCUCGACAGAGAGGACCUCAGUCGCCUACGAAACCACCACCGGCGAGCACCUGACAGGCCGUGGGUCGUGUCUGCUGCACUUCAAACUGUUGUCGCCACUCAGGGCCCUUCAUAAAUGAGCAGAUCUGCAAAUGCCAGUCCGUACUGUGAAUUACCACGUCUUCAACUUCUCCGCCACACACCCCAGCAGUGGCAUUUGGAGCUCUGCUUCAGAACCCGUACAUUCUGAAACCCGCAAGCUUGAGUUUAUGGUCGGAUAAAUACGCAUUCAUCAAGCCAAA